rnacentral:rRNA from 1 species
UACAGAGGUCUCGAGCGUUGUUCGGAUUCAUUGGGCGUAAAGGGUGCGUAGGCGGCGAGGUAAGUCGGAUGUGAAAUCCCGGGGCUCAACCCCGGAACUGCAUUCGAUACUGCCCCGCUUGAGGACUGGAGAGGAGACUGGAAUUCACGGUGUAGCAGUGAUACGCGUAGAUAUCGUGAGGAAGACCGGUGGCGAAGGCGGGUCUCUGGACAGUUCCUGACGCUGAGGCACGAAGGCCAGGGGAGCAAACGGG